rnacentral:rRNA from 1 species
UACAGAGGUCUCAAGCGUUGUUCGGAUUCAUUGGGCGUAAAGGGUGCGUAGGCGGUGGGUUAAGUCGGAUGUGAAAUCCCGGGGCUCAACCCCGGAACUGCAUUCGAUACUGCCUUGCUCGAGUACUGGAGAGGAGACUGGAAUUUACGGUGUAGCAGUGAAAUGCGUAGAUAUCGUAAGGAACACCAGUGGCGAAGGCGGCUCACUGGCCCGUAACUGACGCUGAGGCACGAAAGCGUGGGGAGCAAACAGG